AUCUCCUACGGGGGGCAGCAGUGGGGAAUAUUGCACAAUGGGGGAAACCCUGAUGCAGCGACGCCGCGUGAGCGAUGAAGUAUUUCGGUAUGUAAAGCUCUAUCAGCAGGGAAGAAAAUGACGGUACCUGACUAAGAAGCCCCGGCUAACUACGUGCCAGCAGCCGCGGUAAUACGUAGGGGGCAAGCGUUAUCCGGAUUUACUGGGUGUAAAGGGAGCGUAGACGGCAAUGCAAGCCGGAUGUGAAAGCCCGGGGCGCAAGCCCGGGACUGCAUUUG
rnacentral:rRNA from 1 species